rnacentral:rRNA from 1 species
GACGAACGCUGGCGGCGUGGAUUAGGCAUGCAAGUCGAACGGUAUCAUCCUUUCGGGGGUGAGAGAGUGGCGAACUGGUGAGUAACACGUAGGUUAUCUACCCUCAAGACGGGGACAACCCAGGGAAACUUGGGCUAAUACCGGAUGUGAGCAACUUUUAGUUGUUUGAAAGGUGGCGUAAGCUGUCGCUUGGGGAUGAGCCUGCGUCCUAUUAGUUAGUUGGUGAGGUAACGGCUCACCUAGGCAAUGAUAGGUAGGCGGCCUUAACGGGUGGUCGCCCACACUGGGAUUGAGAUACGGCCUAGACUCCUACGGGAGGCAGCAGUCGAGAAUAGUCUACAAUGGUCGGAAGACUGAUAGUGCGACGCCGCGUGAACGAUGAAUCCCUUCGGGGUGUAAAGUUCUUUUAUAUGUGAGCAGUGCUUCUUAUAUUAACAGUAUGGGGAGAGAGAUAUUAGCAUAUGAAUAAGCAACGGCUAACUCCGUGCCAGCAGCCGCGGU